UACGGAGGAUGCGAGCGUUAUCCGGAUUUAUUGGGUUUAAAGGGUGCGUAGGCGGGAUGCCAAGUCAGCGGUCAAAUACGGGGGCUCAACCUGCGUCCGCCGUUGAAACUGGCGUUCUUGAGUGGGCGAGAAGUACGCGGAAUGCGUGGUGUAGCGGUGAAAUGCAUAGAUAUCACACAGAACACCGAUUGCGAAGGCAUCUCACGAAUCCGCUAUUGACGCUGAUGCACGAAAGCGUGGGUAUCAAACAGG
rnacentral:rRNA from 1 species